GUUAAAGGCUCCUGCUAAGAAUCAGUGCAUUUCAUUUUGCUGUUAAUGAGAGGGCUUGCUGUGGCCCCGUUUUGAGAAGUUGAGCCUGGUCCAGCCCUGGUCCAGCAGGGAGUGCGCCUCUCACCAUGGUGGCCUGUUGCAGCUGCAGUGAUGUGUUCCAGUAUGAGACAAACAAAGUCACCCGCAUCCAGAGCAUGAAUUACGGCACCAUUAAGUGGGUCUUACACGUGAUCGUCUUUUCCUAUGUUAGCUUUGCUUUGAUGAGUGACAAGCUGUAUCAGAGGAAAGAGCCUGUCAUCAGUUCUGUGCAUACCAAGGUGAAAGGGAUAGCAGAGGUGAAAGAGGAGAUCACUGAGAACGGAGUGAAGAAGUUGGUGCAGAGCGUCUUCGACACUGCGGAUUACACCAUCCCUUUGCAGGGGAACUCCUUCUUUGUGAUGACAAACUUUCUCAAGACAGAAGGCCAAGAGCAGCGGUUGUGUCCGGAGUAUCCCACUCGUAGGACGCUCUGUUCCUCUGACCGGGGUUGUAAAAAGGGAUGGAUGGACCCACAGAGCAAAGGAAUCCAGACUGGACGGUGUGUAGUGUAUAAAGGGAACCAGAAGACCUGUGAAGUUGCUGCCUGGUGUCCCAUUGAGGCAGCACAGGAGGCUCCCCGGCCUGCACUCUUGAACAGUGCUGAAAACUUCACUGUGCUCAUCAAGAACAAUAUUGACUUCCCUGGCCACAACUACACCACGAGAAACAUCUUGCCAGGUUUAAAUAUCUCAUGUACCUUUCAUAAGACUCAGAAUCCACAGUGUCCCAUCUUCCGACUAGGAGAUAUCUUCCGAGAAACAGGAGAUAAUUUUUCAGAUGUCGCAAUACAGGGUGGAAUCAUGGGCAUUGAGAUCUACUGGGACUGUAACCUGGACAGAUGGUUCCAUCACUGCCAUCCCAAAUACAGUUUCCGUCGCCUAGAUGACAAGACCACCAAUGAGUCUUUAUACCCUGGCUACAAUUUCAGAUAUGCCAAGUAUUAUAAGGAAAACAAUGUUGAAAAACGGACUCUGAUAAAAGUCUUUGGGAUCCGUUUUGACAUCCUGGUUUUUGGCACUGGAGGAAAAUUCGACUUUAUCCAACUGGUCGUGUAUAUCGGCUCAACCCUCUCCUACUUUGGUUUGGCCACUGUGUUCAUUGACUUUCUCAUCAACACUUACUCCAGUAGCUGCUGUCGAUCUCAUAUUUAUCCCUGUUGCAAGUGCUGUGAACCCUGUGUGGUCAAUGAAUACUACUACAGGAAGAAGUGUGAGUCCAUUGUGGAGCCAAAGCCGACAUUAAAGUAUGUGUCCUUUGUGGAUGAGUCCCACAUUAGGAUGGUGGACCAGCAGCUACUUGGGAAAAGUCUACAACAUGUUAAGGGCCAAGAAAUCCCAAGACCCCUAAUGGACUUCACAGACUUGUCCAAGCUCCCCCUGACUCUCCAUGACCCACCCUCCCCACCCUCCAUUCCUGGACAAGCAGAAGAGAUGCAGCUGCUUCACAAAGAGGCUACUCCUAGGUCCAGGGACAGCCCGGGAUGGUGCCAGUGCGGAAGCUGCCUCCCAUCCCAACUCCCUGAGAGUCAUAGGUGUCUGGAGGAGCUAUGCUGCCGGAAAAAGCCAGGAGCCUGCAUCACCACCUCAGAGCCAUUCAGGAAGCUCAUCCUGUCCAGACAUGUCCUGCAAUUCUUUCUGCUCUACCAGGAGCCCCUGCUGGCACUAGAUGCAGAGUCCACCAACAACCGGCUGCGGCACUGCGCCUACAGGUGCUACACCAGCUGGCGCUUCGGCUCCCAGGAUGUGGCUGACUUUGCCAUCCUACCCAGCUGCUGCCGCUGGAGAAUUCGGAAAGAGUUUCCCAAGAGCAAAGGGCAAUAUAGUGGUUUUACAAGUCCCUACUGACAGCAUGGGGCUGCAGCAGUCAUAUUUUAGUUACCUUUGCCAUCAGCUUGAACUUCACCUGCAAAGACCUAUGGCCGAAUUUUCAGCUAAGGAGAAAUGAGCUUUUAUCUCAUAUAGUUCUAAUACGUAUCUGAGAGCAGAGUGGCCGGGUUAAACAAACAAACCAACAAACAAGAAUUCCUUUGCAUGGGCUGAGUGAAUACAUUCAGAUGUAUGUCUCAACUCCCUAGGAAGUUGUAUGAUUCUAGGCAUUUAACCUCCAUACCUCUGGCUCCUCAUUAUCCAACCUACUAUCUCAAAGAUAAUCAUGAGGACAAAUUGAGACACUAUUCAUGAACUGUCUGUCUUGUUAACAUGUAAAGAGCUACAUGGAUGCAAAACAUCUCAGUAUGAGGUCAGACUAAGAUAAUGUCCAACUAAGAACAAACCCUUUGGUCCUGGUUGGACAAUGUGAAAGAUUAAAAGUGGCCCCAAAUUCUCUGACACUCAUCCCUCAAAACCUGAGGGUUUUGUCUCCUCCGGGUGAGAAUGGGCAGCUCUUACGGCUUUACCCAAUAGCGAAAGUGACACAGUGUCAGUUUUAGGAUCUUUGUCUUAAGAGGCUGGCAAUUUCCACUUCCUGUCACUUGGAACUCUUGCAGUUGGAGAAACCAGCCCCCAUGUAAAAGUCCUCCUGUCCUGAGACCACCCUGCUGUGAAGAAGCUCAAGCAGCCAUGUGCAAGGAGAGUGCCUGACCAACCCCAACUUUCAAGCCAUCCAAACAUUGUCACCAGAUACAAGAGAGAAGUUUUCAGGUGAUUCUGGGCCCUACCAACAUAGGACUGACCCUCCAUGAGACAUUCCAAGUGAGAACUGCCCUGUCAAUCCAGAAAGUCAGACUGCUGUCUUAAGUCAUUAAGCUUUGAGGUUGUUUGUUACAUGGCAACAGAUAACUGAGACAGAGAACAAGCUUGAUGAGUGUGGACAUAGACCUUCCCUGGCUCUAAUACUCUUUGGGAGCCAAGACCAACCCUGGAGCCCCUUAGGAACUUAGGCUUCUACUGGAUAGUUCUUGAAUGGCUACUGACCAAAUCAGGAGCAUUAAUUCCUUUGCACUGUUGCCUGCUAGACUGUUCCUGUGGUGGCUCUAAUGAACAUCUGGACACUAAUUAAAUGCUUAUUUUCAAAUUUCCAGAGUCACAGCCACUCACUGGGAAGAAGGCCACAGGACAUCAGAAUAGGAGAGUGAUGCAGCUACAAGCCAAGGAAUGCCAAGGACUGGCGACAGCUCCCAGACGCUGAAAGAGGUGAGGAAGGACUCUCCCUUAGAGCUUCUAGAGGAAUGUGGCCUUCUGGACACCUUGACUUUGGACUUUUAGCCAUCAAAACUGGUGGAGUACAUUGUGAGGCCCUACUAAGCGUUGAGUGGGUGCCCAACUCCACGUGGUGGAAGAUGUGGAGAAGGAGUUGAGAUCGACUCUGAACUCAAGGUCUUGCCAGCCUCCUCCAACGACACGUGGGUCCUGAGAGUGAGCCCGGGCCACUUCAGUUACACUAAUUGUUUCCAGACCUCCUUGAGAGCACCUUUAGGCACAGAUGCUCCCCUGUUCAAGGAAAUGUCUAUCCCUGUUACCACCACUCUCUCACCACCCCUGCUUCCUCUGCUGUGGUGAUCACCUUCUCUCUGCAUGACCUGGACUCAUGGGAAGCCAACACGUGAUCUCUUGCCUCAGCUCUGCUAUCUUCUCCUUGUAACUGGGAUAGGAAGGUUGAGAUACCCUUCCUUGUGGGGCCUGGCUAAUGUACCUUAUGCAGUAUGUAUGCUCUGCACGUACCUGAACUUCCCAAGCAGUGCCCUGCUUAUGCAUUCAUGAGGAAGUGCUCAAGAGAAUGUCAUUUCAUCAAAUGGAGUUGAACCAUAACUCUGCUUUAUGAGGGAUUACGGGCUGUUUUUUCUUUAUUUGUGGAUGUGCCAGCCUAAAAAAUGCUGUUUUGUCAGAGACAGCUGACUAAACACCUUUGAGUUACAAAAAAAAAAAAGAAAGAAAGAGAGAGAAAGAAAGAAAAUAAAUA